UUAAUGGAGAGGGGAGACUCGUCACGACCAGCUCAUUUCUAGGAUCCGGGUUAAUGAUCCGGAUGAAUCACGACUCGCCCAUCUCUCGUGGAAAACUGUGCAAAAGUGGAGUCGCGCAAUAUCUGACUUGAAGCAAAUAAGCGCGAAAAAAAGGCGCCCUCAAGAGGAAGUCAGUUGGAAGGAUUGUCGGUGGAAAACUGCAAAAGUCGAGUCGCGAAAUUUGAAAGUGGGCAGAAAAUAGUGGUUGAGUGGCAAGUGCACUAUCACCAUUAAGAGUAACUGGCUGUUGACAACCUAUAC